AGAGUUUGAUCCUGGCUCAGGACGAACGCUGGCGGCGCGCCUAACACAUGCAAGUCGAACGAGAGAGAGGGAGCUUGCUUCCUCGAUCGAGUGGCGAACGGGUGAGUAACGCGUGAGGAACCUGCCUCAAAGAGGGGGACAACAGUUGGAAACGACUGCUAAUACCGCAUAAGCCCACGGUGCCGCAUGGCACAGAGGGAAAAGGAGCAAUCCGCUUUGAGAUGGCCUCGCGUCCGAUUAGCUAGUUGGUGAGGUAACGGCCCACCAAGGCGACGAUCGGUAGCCGGACUGAGAGGUUGAACGGCCACAUUGGGACUGAGACACGGCCCAGACUCCUACGGGAGGCAGCAGUGGGGGAUAUUGCACAAUGGGGGAAACCCUGAUGCAGCGACGCCGCGUGGAGGAAGAAGGUCUUCGGAUUGUAAACUCCUGUUGUUGAGGAAGAUAAUGACGGUACUCAACAAGGAAGUGACGGCUAACUACGUGCCAGCAGCCGCGGUAAAACGUAGGUCACAAGCGUUGUCCGGAAUUACUGGGUGUAAAGGGAGCGCAGGCGGGAAGACAAGUUGGAAGUGAAAUCCAUGGGCUCAACCCAUGAACUGCUUUCAAAACUGUUUUUCUUGAGUAGUGCAGAGGUAGGCGGAAUUCCCGGUGUAGCGGUGGAAUGCGUAGAUAUCGGGAGGAACACCAGUGGCGAAGGCGGCCUACUGGGCACCAACUGACGCUGAGGCUCGAAAGUGUGGGUAGCAAACAGGAUUAGAUACCCUGGUAGUCCACACCGUAAACGAUGAUUACUAGGUGUUGGAGGAUUGACCCCUUCAGUGCCGCAGUUAACACAAUAAGUAAUCCACCUGGGGAGUACGACCGCAAGGUUGAAACUCAAAGGAAUUGACGGGGGCCCGCACAAGCAGUGGAGUAUGUGGUUUAAUUCGA
rnacentral:rRNA from 1 species